rnacentral:rRNA from 1 species
AGGAAAAGAAACCAACAGGGAUUGCCCUAGUAACGGCGAGUGAAGCGGCAACAGCUCAAAUUUGAAAUCUGGCGCAAGCCCGAGUUGUAAUUUGUAGAGGAUGCUUCUAGGUAGCGACCGGUCUAAGUUCCUUGGAACAGGACGUCAUAGAGGGUGAGAAUCCCGUAUGCGACCGGCCCGCACCUUCUACGUAGCUCCUUCGACGAGUCGAGUUGUUUGGGAAUGCAGCUCUAAAUGGGAGGUAAAUUUCUUCUAAAGCUAAAUACCGGCCAGAGACCGAUAGCGCACAAGUAGAGUGAUCGAAAGAUGAAAAGCACUUUGGAAAGAGAGUUAAAAAGCACGUGAAAUUGUUGAAAGGGAAGCGCUUACAACCAGACUUCUGGGCGGUGUUCCGCCGGUCUUUUGACCGGUCUACUCGCCGUCCCGAGGCCAACAUCAUCUGGGACCGCUGGAUAAGACCUUAGGAAUGUAGCUUCCCUCGGGAAGUGUUAUAGCCUGUGGUGAUGCAGCGCGUCUCGGGUGAGGUCCGCGCUUCGGCAAGGAUGUUGGCGUAAUGGUUGUCAGCGGCCCGUCUUGAAACACGGACCAAGGAGUCUAACAUCUAUGCGAGUGUUCGGGUGUCAAACCCCUACGCGUAAUGAAAGUGAACGGAGGUGGGAAGGGUGACCUGCACCAUCGACCGAUCCUGAUGUCCUCGGAUGGAUUUGAGUAAGAGCAUAGCUGUUGGGACCCGAAAGAUGGUGAACUAUGCCUGAAUAGGGUGAAGCCAGAGGAAACUCUGGUGGAGGCUCGCAGCGGUUCUGACGUGCAAAUCGAUCGUCAAAUUUGGGUAUAGGGGCGAAAGACUAAUC